rnacentral:tRNA from 1 species
UAGCUCAGUUGGUAGAGCAUGGUGUUUGCAACGCCAGGGGUUGUGGCUUCGAUUCCCAC